rnacentral:rRNA from 1 species
GUGAAAUGCGUAGAUAUCGGGAGGAACACCAGUGGCGAAGGCGGCUACCUGGCACACAACUGACGCUGAGACGCGAAAGCGUGGGGAGCGAACCGGAUUAGAUACCCGGGUAGUCCACGCCCUAAACGUUGCGAACUAGGUGUUGGUCGGAUUGACCCGAUCAGUGCCGCAGCUAACGCAUUAAGUUCGCCGCCUGGGGAGUACGGUCGCAAGAUUAAAACUCAAAGGAAUAGGCGGGGGCCCGCACAAGCAGCGGAGCGUGUGGUUUAAUUCGAUGCGACGCGAAGAACCUUACCUGGACUUGACAUGUUUGGGAAACAUCGGUGAAAGCCGGUGCCUCUCGCAAGAGACUCUUGCACAGGUGGUGCAUGGCUGUCGUCAGCUCGUGCCGUGAGGUGUUGGGUUAAGUCCCGCAACGAGCGCAACCCCUGUCCUUAGUUGAAUUUCUAGGGAUACUGCCGGGCGAAACCCGGAGGAAGGUGGGGAUGACGUCAAGUCAGCAUGCCCUUUAUGUCCAGGGCUACACACACGCUACAAUGGCCGGUACAACGAGUUCCGACACGGCGACGUGAAGGUAAUCUCUUAAAACCGGUCUCAGUUCGGAUUGCAGGCUGAAACCCGCCUGCAUGAAGUAGGAGUUGCUAGUAAACGCUGGUCAGCACACAGCGUUGAAUACGUUCCCGGGCCUUGCACUCACCGCCCGUCACACCACCCGAGUCUGGUGCUCCCGAAGUCGCUGGCCGAACCCGCAAGGGACGGAGGCGCCGAAGGAGUGCCCGGUGAGGGGGGUGAAGUCGUAACAAGGUAACCGU